rnacentral:lncRNA from 1 species
AUAGCAGAUGGAAGACUCCGAAAUUCUUUUGGCAUAGUCAUGGAAGUUGAUGUGAUAGCGAUUUGUUGGCUGUUCUGAUGCCUCUCAACAAGAAUAUGUGUAGGAUGUCAUUGGGAUGUCAGCACAUUGGUGGAUGGAGUAUUCUAGCUGUAUCAAUCGGCAUAUAUGAAAUAUAAUACAUGUGAUAUCAAUCGUGGGC